GGAGAGUGUCUCUCCCUGCAGGAGAUUGGAAGUUAGGUCUCUCCACAUGGUCUUCACUAACACCACAGUGGGAGCCACUUGUUACUACCCAACGGAGAUACAAGUUCUGGCUCCCUUCUCUGACAGCUCCCACAGGGGUAUUGGGGAGCCUUGUUAUGGCGUCGUGAAGGCUAGAGUCUGGGUCCCCCUCUCAGCCUUUGCUAGUGUGGAGGGGACAGGCCCAGGUUUUUCUGUGGUUUGGCUGCAGUAGAGACCUUUGCUGGGCUGCCCCCUUUCCUGUCCCUUUGGCUACAGAGAGCAGACUUUUGUCAGAGCUUUUCUGUCUCGCCUGUUGGCAUUUCCAGUUUGCCAGCUGCAUCAGUUCCAAGUUAGGAAAAUCCAGGAACUUGUUUCAUGUCAUUUCUCAGAUCCCUCGCUGGUCUGCCUUUUCUCUCCAUUUUUCAGCAUCAUCUUAUGUUUGUCUUAUACAUGAUGUCCAGGAUUUUUGGUUAUACCCAGUGAGAAAAAUAGGGAAAAUAUGUCUAUUUUCUCAGAAGCAGAAGUGUUGCAUGUACUUUUAAAUAAUACACUUAAUUUAAGAAAUAUAUCCUGCCCCCCAUUAACUCAAUUUAGGAGAUCUUACUGAAGAUUAAUCUGCAUGACUCAGAGUUCUCCCCUGGGUUAUGUGGAGUCAGUAACCCAGUAUUCCUUUUGAUGGCAAAGUAAUGGCAGAGUGGUGGCCAGUCAAAUCAGAGAUGCCACUGAUGGUGAGAUGCACCAAUAUUUCAUUUAUUUUUCAGAAAGAGAAAAGUACUUUGAAUAAACUAAUAUGCCAUCUGUAUAGUAAGAUGCAUGCUGAUUUCUCAGAGGUCAAAAUAUGGCAAGAGUUUGCUUCGUGGAACAGAAUCAGUAUGGUAGUUAUGUGGAAAGGUUUGCAGAGUGAAGUGCAAACGAUAAUAUAUUAAUGUUCAAACAUGUUUUAUUUAUUUGCCAUGUUCAGUUUAACAAGUGGAUGUUGGUCAGCUUACAAAAGCAAGCAUUCCUUUUCUGAGAAUGUUGACAAGACCCUUUAAACCCCAAUUUGGUGGGUCUUUCUUCCUUGCAGAGAUAAAGCUGCCUGCUUUGCUAUUCAGAAGGGAUUACAGGCAUCACGUAGUGACAUUAAGCUAUUUAACCAUAAUGAUAUGGAUGACCUGCAGCGACUAUUGAAAGAACAAGAGAUUGAAGAUCAAAAGAAUCCUCGCAAGGCUCGUGUAACUCGACGUUUCAUUGUAGUCGAGGGGUUAUAUAUGAAUACUGGAACUAUUUGCCCUCUUCCAGAAUUGGUUAAGUUAAAAUACAGAUAUAAAGCAAGGAUCUUUCUGGAGGAAAGCCUUUCGUUUGGAGUCCUGGGGGAGCACGGCCGAGGAGUCACUGAACAUUUUGGAAUCGAUGUAAGCUCUGCUUUUUUGGAACAUUCCUUCAUAUAGUAACCAUGCAGUUCCAUCCUGCUGGGCAGGUUUCAUGGGCACAAGACAGUGUUCCUCAUCGAUGUGCAGGGUGCAGCUUUGGUGUCUGUCACUUCACUGAGCCCACAGAGGAUUGGGUCAGCCAGACCAGGGUCCCCAUCUUCCCUUGGAACUCAGUGGCUAAUCAUAGAAUUUGUGUUCUGUUUACACGGUAACAUUUGAUCCCAGCUUUCAGUGUUUCUUCUCUAGAAACAGUUAAAUUUGCCUUCCAUUUUUUCUUUAAAAUCAGUAAGAGUUCUCUAAGUUGUCCUUUAGAAAGUAUCAUAGCAGUGAAAAGAUGUUCUUUCUAAUAUUUAAAAUUCUGUAUUGUUAUUUGUGUGUAUGGGGGUGAUUUAUAUAUAUAUAUAUAUUAGAAAUACCACCAGCAUGGAUUCACAAAGCCGCUCAAGGUCCCAGACAACUGGAGUGAGUUUUUUAUGUUUUCUCUUGCUGAAAGGAAAUGAGCCUCAACUAGCCCUACUCUUAGUGGGUUUUGCUCCUAGAGCCUCGGAGAGGAACAGUGUGGGCCCAUCUGCAGAACCUGUCCUCACCGACCACUGUGUAACCUGCCCUUACCCACCGCUGUGUGGUUGAUGUGAAGGAAGCUUUUCUCCAAAUCUUGUGCAUAAAAGUUUUGCAGCUUGUGUUAAAAUGUUGAACUAUAAAAUAUAAACUCACCUUAGAUUAUUUGCAUCCCUCUACCCAUACAGACCUAGAGAAAAAUGUAGAGCAGAAUGACUAUCACACCAAGUUGACUGAAGCAUACUCUUCAAAGACAAACUGACAUUUGGCAAUGAAAUGCACUGAAGAAUUUAAGAUAAAUGGAAAUUAAUUCAAGUAAAAUUUACACCAGAGCAAUUUUUAAGGCAUGAAAAUUUUAAAGAAGGAAAAAGCACUAUCUAAUUUCACUGUUCUCGUUUUCUCACUGCUUCCAGCAGUUGUCUCAGAGGUAGUAUUUAUAAUGGCUUGAGUAAGAGUGCAGAAUGUAUGGACCUUAUUUGGACCCUAAUUCAAACAAAUACUGUGAAAAACAGGCUUUGUGAGACAGAGAUACUUGAACACUCAGUAUUUGAUAUUAAGAAAUUUUUCAUUUUUUAAGUGUGGUAAUGUUUUUGAAAGAGGGCAUAUCUUUUAGAAAUGCACACUGAAAUAUUUAUAGAUGAAAACAUGUAAGGUCUGAGAUUUGCUCCAAAGAGAUGAAGAGGGCAGUAGGGGGCUUAUACGUGGAACAGGAUUGUCCGUAAGUUGAUAAUUAUUGAAUCUGGUGAUGGGGAUUCUUUAUACUUUUGUAUAUGUUUGAAAUUUUUCAUAAUGAAAGGUUAAAAAAAAAGAAGAAGAGU